GGGGGCGUCCUGGUUUCGACGGGGUGGUUGAAGUCCAGGCUGCAUGCCGAGGAAUCCUGGUUGGCCUCGUAAAAAAUCCGGGAAAAACGUCAACUGCCAACGAUAUGGCUCUCGCGGCUUAAUUGAAGCCACGCGCGCUCCCGCUGACGCCUGCUGGGCGGUGUAGCGCGACAAGAGCAGGACCCGCCCGCCGCUGGGUGACCGAACGGUGGAGCCUGUACCAACGUGGCCGCUGGCCCCGGGGCGCGUCUGUCCGCCGUCUUUCCCCGGAGCGAGACUCAGACGACGGAACAAGCAUGUAGAUGUCUGGGUGACUCCAUUUCGGACGGGGGUUCGAUUCCCCCCGCCUCCACCA
rnacentral:tmRNA from 1 species